AUUGAACGCUGGCGGCAGGCUUAACACAUGCAAGUCGAGCGGGGGAAGGUAGCUUGCUACUGGACCUAGCGGCGGACGGGUGAGUAAUGCUUAGGAAUCUGCCUAUUAGUGGGGGACAACAUCUCGAAAGGGAUGCUAAUACCGCAUACGUCCUACGGGAGAAAGCAGGGGAUCUUCGGACCUUGCGCUAAUAGAUGAGCCUAAGUCGGAUUAGCUAGUUGGUGGGGUAAAGGCCUACCAAGGCGACGAUCUGUAGCGGGGCUGAGAGGAUGAUCCGACACACCGGGACUAGGACACGGCCCAGACUCCGACGGGAGGCAGCAGUGGGGAAUAUUGGACGAUGGGGGGAACCCUGAUCCAGCCAUGCCGCGUGUGUGAAGAAGGCCUUUUGGUUGUAAAGCACUUUAAGCGAGGAGGAGGCUUACCUGGUUAAUACCUGGGAUAAGUGGACGUUACUCGCAGAAUAAGCACCGGCUAACUCUGUGCCAGCCGCCGCCGUAA
rnacentral:rRNA from 1 species